rnacentral:tRNA from 1 species
AGGAUAAUAGUUAAAUUUAACAUUUAAUUUGCACUUAAAAAAUAUUGAUUAAUCAAUUUAUCUU